rnacentral:rRNA from 1 species
UCCGUAGGCGGGUAAUUAAGUCAGAGGUGAAAUCCCACAGCUUAACUGUGGAACUGCCUUAGAUACUGGUUAUCUUGAGUUUUAGUGAAGUAGAUAGAAUGUGUAGUGUAGCGGUGAAAUGCAUAGAUAUUACACAGAAUACCGAUUGCGAAGGCAGUCUACUAACUAUAUACUGACGCUAAUGGACGAAAGCGUGGGGAGCGAACAGGAUUAGAUACCCUGGUAGUCC